UGGGCCUAACUCAACCCCAAAAGCUAGCUUAUGAGGUGAGGAUUGCUCAAGCCAUAUAAGGAGACCAACGACCUCAAAUCCCUCCGAUGUGGGACAACUCAACACCUAUUGGUAUAGCAGGCAAAGGUGGUAUUCAUAGUUACACGCAACAAACCACUGAAUAUUCUAAAAAAAAGAUACUUUACAGGAUGACUACGCACACGGCGCACAUUAGCAUAAAA
rnacentral:lncRNA from 1 species